AUGAUACAUGGCAAGGUAAUGAAGCAUAUGGUUAACAAGUUCAGACCAUUGAUCCAAGAAGGUUUAGUCUACAUGAUAGCAAAUUUUAAGGUUAUGUCUGCAAUGAAUUUCCGUCCAGUUGAAAGCGAAAAGGUUCUAAAUUUCUUGCACACGACAAAACUCAAGAGGUCAAAAAUAUAUAUCAAAAUAGCAGAACAAAGCUUCACAUUUUGUACUAUUGAAGUUCUUUCCAUAAGAGACAGCCAAAAGAUUUACUUAUCUGAUGUCAUUGGCAUAGCAAGUUGCAUAUGGCAUAUUGAAGAAACACAGACAACCCACGGGAUUUCAAAGACUCGAGAUAUUGUGCUUCGGAUUGAGGAUCAAAAAAUUAAUAUUAGACUAUGGGGUAAUAAGGUUGGUCAAAUUGAUGAAGAUUCUUUGGGGCGUGUGGUCAUAGUAACAUCAACUACUGUUAAAAAACUGAAAGGUUUGUAUUUGUAUUAA
rnacentral:rRNA from 1 species